rnacentral:rRNA from 1 species
AUCAGUGGCGAACGGGUGAGUAACACGUGAGUAACCUGCCCUUGACUCUGGGAUAACUGCUAGAAAUGGUAGCUAAUACCGGAUACGACCCUCGGCCGCAUGGUCAGGGGGUGGAAAGAAUUUUGGUCAAGGAUGGACUCGCGGCCUAUCAGGUAGUUGGUGAGGUAAUGGCUCACCAAGCCUACGACGGGUAGCCGGCCUGAGAGGGUGACCGGCCACACUGGGACUGAGACACGGCCCAGACUCCUACGGGAGGCAGCAGUGGGGAAUAUUGCACAAUGGGCGAAAGCCUGAUGCAGCAACGCCGCGUGAGGGACGACGGCCUUCGGGUUGUAAACCUCUUUUAGUAGGGAAGAAGCGAAAGUGACGGUACCUGCAGAAAAAGCACCGGCUAACUACGUGCCAGCAGCCGCGGUAAUACGUAGGGUGCAAGCGUUGUCCGGAAUUAUUGGGCGUAAAGAGCUCGUAGGCGG